rnacentral:misc_RNA from 1 species
CUGAAUGAUCAUCCUUGAUCUUCUUACCCUCAAACCUCCGUGGAACGCAACAUGUGCUUCGGCGCCCUUUGGCGCCGCCUUUAUGCUUCAACAAUGCCCUUUGUGUCUGAAGAAUCAUAAUGUCA